rnacentral:lncRNA from 1 species
UCGUUUCCCGGUGGACCAUCCUUCACCAAGGUUGUCCUGCCUGCCUAAUGUUUCCUCUUCACUUCCCAAUUAGGACCUAGGGAGAGUUGGAUAUCCAGGUGCAAAGUUUCUUGGUCCCUGCACCAAAGUAAGUGCCCUGUGCGAUUGCCUUCUGAAGGACUGUCCCUGCGCUGGCCUGGAGUGUGUGUGUGUGUGUGGGGGGGGGGGGGGAAUCGUCCUCCAAGAGUUCUGUGGAACUUUGCCAGAAGUACUGAGCUGUCUCAAGACAUUUAGGCCUCCUCAAAGAUACAGCCUGGAGGCUGAGGAUCAUGGUAUCAGCUUUGUGUGUGAUCAAUUUCUGUUUGUCUCCAGAGUGGGCAAAGGGUAGCUUGCUUGGUCGAAGAUCAGAGUUACAAUUUGUCACCAAGC